GAUGAACGCUGGCGGCGUGCCUAAUACAUGCAAGUCGAGCGAACAGACGAGAGUGCUUGCACUCUCUGACGUUAGCGGCGGACGGGUGAGUAACACGUGGGUAACCUACCUAUAAGACUGGGAUAACUUCGGGAAACCGGAGCUAAUACCGGAUAAUAUUUAGCUUCGCAUGAAGCAAUAGUGAAAGACGGUUCUGCUGUCACUUAUAGAUGGACCCGCGGUGUAUUAGCUAGUUGGUGAGGUAACGGCUCACCAAGGCAACGAUACAUAGCCGACCUGAGAGGGUGAUCGGCCACACUGGGACUGAGACACGGCCCAGACUCCUACGGGAGGCAGCAGUAGGGAAUCUUCCGCAAUGGACGAAAGUCUGACGGAGCAAUGCCGCGUGAGUGAAGAAGGUGUUCGGAUCGUAAAACUCUGUUGUAAGGGAAGAACAAGUACGUUAGUAACUGAACGUACCUUGACGGUACCUUAACAGAAAGCCACGGCUAACUACGUG
rnacentral:rRNA from 1 species